AGAGUUUGAUCCUGGCUCAGGAUGAACGCUAGCGGCAGGCUUAAUACAUGCAAGUCGAGGGGCAGCGGGGGUAGCAAUACCUGCCGGCGACCGGCAAACGGGUGCGGAACACGUACGCAACCUUCCUUCAAGCGGGGAAUAGCCCAGGGAAACUUGGAUUAAUACUCCAUAAGAUUAUGGUGUGGCAUCACACAGUAAUU
rnacentral:rRNA from 1 species